UCCACUCUCCUCAAUCUCCUAACCGAGUGAGGGUUCCACUAACUUGAAGCUACAAUCAAGCUUUCAAUCGUCUUACACUUGGAUUCCGGCUCCAAUGGGCUCUUACACAAUCUCUUCAAGAUUUGAACCACUUGAAGGCUUUCACACUCAGUUUACACAAGGAUGAAACUCUCAACCUAGCUUAAGGAAGGCUCAAGUACAAGAGAAAGCUAGGAUGAAUUGCAAGAGUGCACUAAGAAUAUGCAAUUGAUGGUUUAAUGCACUAAGAAAGAAGAUGAGAGCUUUUUGAUCAAGAACAGGUAGGUAGGCUUUGAAUGCAAUUGUUCUCUUAGUCAUAAAUGAAUAGGAGCUCUCAAUUUAUAGGUUUCUAAGCUCGGGAGACAAAAACAGCAGAAAGUAGCCUCGACCGGACGAGCAAAGGGUCGACCGGAUCACUAGCCGUUGGAGCAUUUAAUGCAUAGCAGGUUACCGUUGCCUCGACCGGACUUCGACCGGACCUCGACCGGACCUCGACCGGACCUCGACCGAACAAAGGGUGAGGCUCGACCGGGAAGAGGAAGCUACUGGGAGAGAGAGAAAGUUUUUGUGUCUCCCUCGACCGGACCUCGACCGGACAAGGGAAACCGGUCGACCGGUUCCCCAACCGGUUGAGCCGGUUGGCCAUAGCCUCGACCGGAUGAGCCUUUUGGCCCUGAAAACCUAUCCUUUUUUAUUUCUUUCUUUU
rnacentral:lncRNA from 1 species